GGAAGGGUGGCCGAGUGGCGAGGCACCGACUCUGCACAGCCGGAAACGGAGGUUCGAGUCCUCCCCCUUCCUCCA
rnacentral:tRNA from 1 species